rnacentral:rRNA from 1 species
AUUGAACGCUGGCGGCAUGCCUUACACAUGCAAGUCGAACGGCAGCACGGGUGCUUGCACCUGGUGGCGAGUGGCGAACGGGUGAGUAAUACAUCGGAACAUGUCCUGUAGUGGGGGAUAGCCCGGCGAAAGCCGGAUUAAUACCGCAUACGAUCUACGGAUGAAAGCGGGGGACCUUCGGGCCUCGCGCUAUAGGGUUGGCCGAUGGCUGAUUAGCUAGUUGGUGGGGUAAAGGCCUACCAAGGCGACGAUCAGUAGCUGGUCUGAGAGGACGACCAGCCACACUGGGACUGAGACACGGCCCAGACUCCUACGGGAGGCAGCAGUGGGGAAUUUUGGACAAUGGGCGAAAGCCUGAUCCAGCAACGCCGCGUGUGUGAAGAAGGCCUUCGGGUUGUAAAGCACUUUUGUCCGGAAAGAAAUCCUUGGCCCUAAUACGGUCGGGGGAUGACGGUACCGGAAGAAUAAGCACCGGCUAACUACGUG